rnacentral:rRNA from 1 species
AUUGAACGCUGGCGGCAUGCCUUACACAUGCAAGUCGAACGGUGACAGGUCUUCGGAUGCUGACGAGUGGCGAACGGGUGAGUAAUACAUCGGAACGUGCCUAGUAGUGGGGGAUAACUACUCGAAAGAGUGGCUAAUACCGCAUGAGAUCUACGGAUGAAAGCAGGGGAUCGCAAGACCUUGUGCUACUAGAGCGGCCGAUGGCAGAUUAGGUAGUUGGUGGGAUAAAAGCUUACCAAGCCGACGAUCUGUAGCUGGUCUGAGAGGACGAUCAGCCACACUGGGACUGAGACACGGCCCAGACUCCUACGGGAGGCAGCAGUGGGGAAUUUUGGACAAAGGGCACAAGCCUGAUCCAGCAAUGCCGCGUGCAGGAUGAAGGCCUUCGGGUUGUAAACUGCUUUUGUACGGAACGAAAAGCCCUGGGUUAAUACCCUGGGGUCAUGACGGUACCGUAAGAAUAAGCACCGGCUAACUACGUGCCAGCCGCCGCAGUAAAAC